AUGGCUAUUAUAGUUCUAUCAAUUAUGAAUGACACACUUCAAAAUCAGAUGUCUAAUACUCUAAAUAUUUUAGAAGUUCAUUCUGUUUCCAUGCCUUAGAUACCAUGGUGGAAAAAAAAUCAUUGGAUUUGAAAUUAUGUAACUGUGGAUGGCUGGUAUUUGCAAAAUGAUGGGGGAUUCCAAACUACAUCAUUCAACUCUUCACUCUGGGCCUUGGACCAGUAUAGCAGGGCCUGAAUUCUCAUCUACUCAAGUAGCAAAGAGGAGAAGAUCAAAAGUUGGAAGCCUUCUUGGGAAACAUGCUGAUAUUUAGUCUCUAUAAUUUAGAAAGGUAGAGGGUGUUAGCUUAAGAUCACUUAGCAUAGACUCAACCUUUGUGUCAACCUCUUGUCAUUUUAGAAUGCUUUCCCAUCUUCAAAGACAAGUUGAGUAAUAGAUUGCAAUAUUUAAAAUGUUGAUUCUAAUAGCUAGCAGGUUCUAUGCACUUUUAAAAGUAUAAUACUCAACUAGAUAAAAGCUACACUGCACCUACUUUCUUCGUUUUUAUUUAAAUUAGAAACAAGCUUCUUUUACAUGUCAAUCUCAGUUCCCU
rnacentral:lncRNA from 1 species